UACGGGAGGCAGCAGUGGGGAAUAUUGCACAAUGGGCGAAAGCCUGAUGCAGCUAUGCCGCGUGUAUGAAGAAGGCCUUAGGGUUGUAAAGUACUUUCAUCGGGGAGGAAAAAACAAAACUAAUAAUUUUAUUUCUUGACGUUACCCGAAAAAGAAGCACCGGCUAACUCCGUGCCAGCAGCCGCGGUAAUACGGAGGGUGCUAGCGUUAAUCAGAAUUACUGGGCGUAAAGAGCACGUAGGUGGUUUUUUUAAGUCAGAUGUGAAAUCCCUGGGCUUAAACCUGGAACUGCAUUUUGAAACUGAAAUACUAGAGUAUCGUAGAGGGAGGUAGAAUUCUAGGUGUAGCGGUGAAAUGCGUAGAUAUCUGGAGGAAUACCUGUGGCGAAAGCGGCCUCCUAAACGAAUACUGACACUGAGUGCGAAAGCGUGGGGAGCAAACAGGGAUUAGAUACC
rnacentral:rRNA from 1 species